rnacentral:rRNA from 1 species
GACGAACGCUGGCGGCGCGCCUAACACAUGCAAGUCGAACGAGCGAGAGAGAGCUUGCUUUCUUGAGCGAGUGGCGAACGGGUGAGUAACGCGUGAGGAACCUGCCUCAAAGAGGGGGAUAACAGUUGGAAACGACUGCUAAUACCGCAUAAGCCCACGGUGCCGCAUGGCACAGAGGGAAAAGGAGCAAUCCGCUUUGAGAUGGCCUCGCGUCCGAUUAGCUAGUUGGUGAGGUAACGGCCCACCAAGGCGACGAUCGGUAGCCGGACUGAGAGGUUGAACGGCCACAUUGGGACUGAGACACGGCCCAGACUCCUACGGGAGGCAGCAGUGGGGAAUAUUGCACAAUGGGGGAAACCCUGAUGCAGCGACGCCGCGUGGAGGAAGAAGGUCUUCGGAUUGUAAACUCCUGUUGUUGGGGAAGAUAAUGACGGUACCCAACAAGGAAGUGACGGCUAACUACGUG